rnacentral:rRNA from 1 species
UGCCAGCAGCCGCGGUAAUACGGAGGGUGCUAGCGUUGUUCGGAAUUACUGGGCGUAAAGAGCGCGUAGGCGGUUUAUUAAGUUGGAAGUGAAAUCCCGGAGCUCAACUCCGGAACUGCUUUCAAAACUGAUAGGCUAGAGUUAGGUAGAGGAUAGUGGAAUUCCCAAUGUAGAGGUGAAAUUCGUAGAUAUUGGGAGGAACACCAGAGGCGAAGGCAACUAUCUGGGCCUUAACUGACGCUGAGGCGCGAAAGUGUGGGGAGCAAACAGGAUUAGAUA